rnacentral:lncRNA from 1 species
CUAUCUGAUUUGGGGUGACAUGGCACAGGGAAACAAUUAUGGACAGAGCAGCAAUGGGGUGGCUGAUGAAUCACCCAACAUGCUUGUAUACAGAAAGGGCAAUGUGAUAUGAAGUUACCUAUAUGAAGAACACAGAUCCCAGUGCCUAUUCCUCUAUCUCCUAGUUUUGGGCAAGUUACUUACUCUUUCUGGAACCUGUUUUCCUGAUAUAUAUAUAAAAUAAAGGAGUUAAACUAGAUGACUCA